AUAAAUCCAUAUAUUCCAAAAUUUUUCCCACUUUCAUAUGGAUUAACAGUCUUGCAAUUAUGUCCAAAUGGAAAUUCUCAGCACUCAUAGGCAUAAAAAAUGCAAACAACCAAUCUCAACAACACUAAGGUGUUUCCAUCAAAUGGUACCAACUCUAAAGUAAAGAGCUGAAUAAAUAAAGUUCAAACUUAUCAUGUGUAUGUGUGUGUUGUUGUUGUUUUCUAUUUUUAUUUUUUUUUAAUCUAAUCAACAAAGAAAAUAAUGUAAAAAUGCUCAAUGAAUGAUUUAUUUACCGAAGGAAAAAAAGAGCCUAAAUUAAUCAUUUAGUCAUGUGUGUG
rnacentral:misc_RNA from 1 species